rnacentral:rRNA from 1 species
GUGGGGAAUCUUGCGCAAUGGGCGAAAGCCUGACGCAGCCAUGCCGCGUGAAUGAUGAAGGUCUUAGGAUUGUAAAAUUCUUUCACCGGGGACGAUAAUGACGGUACCCGGAGAAGAAGCUCCGGCUAACUUCGUGCCAGCAGCCGCGGUAAUACGAAGGGGGCUAGCGUUGCUCGGAAUUACUGGGCGUAAAGGGCGCGUAGGCGGACAGUUUAGUCAGAGGUGAAAGCCCAGGGCUCAACCUUGGAAUUGCCUUUGAUACUGGCUGUCUUGAGUACGGGAGAGGUGAGUGGAACUCCGAGUGUAGAGGUGAAAUUCGUAGAUAUUCGGAAGAACACCAGUGGCGAAGGCGACUCACUGGCCCGUUACUGACGCUGAGGCGCGAAAGCGUGGGGAGCAAACAGGAUUAGAUACCCUAGUAGUCC